UAACGCGUAGGUAACCUGCCUUGUAGCGGGGGAUAACUAUUGGAAACGAUAGCUAAUACCGCAUAACAAUGGAUGACACAUGUCAUUUAUUUGAAAGGGGCAAUUGCUCCACUACAAGAUGGACCUGCGUUGUAUUAGCUAGUAGGUGAGGUAACGGCUCACCUAGGCGACGAUACAUAGCCGACCUGAGAGGGUGAUCGGCCACACUGGGACUGAGACACGGCCCAGACUCCUACGGGAGGCAGCAGUAGGGAAUCUUCGGCAAUGGGGGCAACCCUGACCGAGCAACGCCGCGUGAGUGAAGAAGGUUUUCGGAUCGUAAAGCUCUGUUGUAAGUCAAGAACGAGUGUGAGAGUGGAAAGUUCACACUGUGACGGUAGCUUACCAGAAAGGGACGGCUAACUACGUGCCAGCAGCCGCGGUAAUACGUAGGUCCCGAGCGUUGUCCGGAUUUAUUGGGCGUAAAGCGAGCGCAGGCGGUUUGAUAAGUCUGAAGUUAAAGGCUGUGGCUCAACCAUAGUUCGCUUUGGAAACUGUCAAACUUGAGUGCAGAAGGGGAGAGUGGAAUUCCAUGUGUCGCGGUGAAAUGCGUAGAUAUAUGGAGGAACACCGGUGGCGAAAGCGGCUCUCUGGUCUGUAACUGACGCUGAGGCUCGAAAGCGUGGGGAGCGAACAGGAUUAGAU
rnacentral:rRNA from 1 species